CGGGGCCAGGCUGAGCCUACCUGCUGGCUUUGCUGAGCCAUGUGACGCAUGUGCAACAACAAGAGACCAGAGAGUAGACUGUGGUGAAUCUCGUGCGAAGCAGUCAGUGCGUGCGGCAGAGAAAAAAGCUUGAAUAUCGAUAUUUUUACACGAGUAUUGCUCAAUACCAAUACCAGCGUUGGUAUCGAUAUUAUCGAUAUUUGGAUCGAUCCGCCCACCUCUAGCUGCUGGACUUCCUGGACUGGCUGGAUCAUCUCUUCCCCCGUUUCCCCAGACCAAACCUUCGUGCUCUUCUUCAGGUACCCGGAUUUCCUCCAGUGCACACCUUGGUGUUCCUCUGUCCAUCCUUUCCUCUCCUUCGGCCGGAUGGAUUUGCUCAGUUACUUUACCUCCCAGAUGUCGGUCUGUUCUACCCCACUUUCUUCCCCCUGGUGUGGGAGGACCGAGCCGAGUACUGGGAGUGGCUUCUGAGCAGCCAUGUUGCCCACCUGUGCUACAUGGAUCUGCUGUGGAGAGACUACCUGAAGACCAGGGUCCCCCCAACUGCCUGCAGACAGCUGGAGCCUCGACCAGACAGGGACCACAAGCCGGGGGGCCACAGCAUCGCUCUCCCUGAGGACGACUGCGCACCACCUCGCAAGAGACGCCGCAUCUGAUCCCCCUGUAUCCUUUAUUUAUUACUCUGUAUAUGUUUAUCUAUUACUGAUUAAUUUACUUUAUAUUUGUAUAGUCCAUAAAUUAACUAGCUAUAUUUUUAUAGAGUAGAUAAGUUUACUUUAUCAUUUUAUAAAAUUUUGUAAGUUAAUUUUAAUUUUAAUGUUCAUAAUUUAAAUAUAUAUUUUUAUAGCGUUCAUAAGUUUCCUUUUUCAUUUUUAUGGAGUUAAUAAGUUUCCUUACCAUUAGACUUUAAUUAACUAUUUAUUUGCUUAAAUAUCUAUUUGCCUAAUUAACAAUGUAUUUGUUAAAUUACCUAUUUAUUUAUGUAUUUGUUUCAUUAACAGUUUAUUCAUUUAAUUAACUUUUAUAUGCUUAAUUAGCUUACUUAAUACCAGUUACAAACCAAUUUAAAAGUACUGUUUUUUGCAUUGCUUAAUCCUGUUUCUGAUUACUUUAUGUUGUAAAAACAUAAACUUAAACUUGCAUUCUAUGUAUAAAAUGUGCUUUAUAAAUAAAUAAAUAAAUAAAUACAAUUAUUACUCUAGUCACAAAUUCAAAUAAUAUUUAAUUAUUUAAAUUGUAAACGAUUUUAGAUAUUUCACAACAUUUACAACAGUUUUCUAACUUUUAUUUAAAAUUUACUUUAUUAGAUUUAAAGCAUUAACAAUAUUAGCUUUUAAAACAUAAUAGCAUUACACAGUUUCAGAAUUAGUUUUGAAUUCUCAAAAAUGUAAAUGUUUAAAUAAUCAGUAUUAAGCAUUUAAGAAUGUUUUUAUAAAUCUUUUUAAUUGUUAUUGUUAGUAUAUAGUUUUUUAGUUUUUUGGCAAAUUGUUAAUAGUAAUAUUGUUCUUAGUACUCUUGUUAUAUAUUCAAAUAUUAUUUAUUUAUUUAAAUUGUUAACAACAAUUUUAGAUAUUUCACAACAUUUAAAGCAAUUUUUUUAACUUUUACUUUAAAUUUACUUUAUUAGAUUUAAAGCUUUAAAAAUAUUAGCUUUUUAAACGUAAUAGCUUUACACAUUUUCAGAAUUAGUUUUGAAUUCUCUAAAAUUUAAAUGUUCAAAUAAUCAGUAUUAAGCAUUUAAGAAUGUUUUUAUGAAUCUU